rnacentral:lncRNA from 1 species
GGGGAACGCGGGCGUGGAGCCCUCCGGGGACAGGGCUUGGUGUCCUCAGAAGCCUCCAGAACGUCCAUGGAACCCGCCCCUGCGCCCACCGCCUCCUGCUGUCUUUCCAGCUGAGUUCCGGCUGCCCCUCACCCUCGGCUUCUUCACUCUGCCCCUCCCCAGCCAGCGCCCUGCUCCCCGGUCCUCAACCACCACCUUCCACCUGCCUGGGCCUUCAUCCCCUCCGACCUCCCCUUCCACACCAAACCGGCGUCCGUUUUCCUCCAGGCCUGCACCAGCACAGCUGAAGGGGAGAGAGACCCAACCUCAUCCACUGGGCCUCCCCUCAACCAGGGCCACAACCUCAAGGGGCCAUGCCACCUCCAACACCUAUUUCCCACCUUCUACUCUCUCCACACCCUGGGACACCACCCGCCUCUCUCAGCUGACGUUUUCCUUCUCGUUUUGUGUGCAUGGUGCUUGUGUGAGAAAGUGGACACACAGUAAGUGCGGCUUCCAGAUGCGUCCGCCACCUGCCCUCCGUGCCACGCGCUUCCCCCUACCUAGGGGAGCCUCCACCAGACAGGGAACCCACGCCUUGCCACCCUUCUCUCUCCCUCCCACUUCACCUGUCCGCGUCAUUCCUGGAGCCCUUUCUUUCUGGCACGAGAUGCUCCAGGGCCCUGUUGUAUUCUCCCUGCCCCAGCCUGAAACCAGCUAUUUCUGCUGCAGCCUGGUUCAUUGUGGGAGAAUGUCAUGCAGAGCCCGGGAUCUGGCUCUGGAUGUGCUCAUUGCUACUGGGGUGUCAUUGCAGCUGGCGGAGCAAGGGAACACAUCUAUGUACAUGCCCACACGCA